AAUUAUCCUAAUUCCUUAGUGGGUACUAGAAUCCACUUAGACUGCACACAAGCCCAACUUUGGUUGGCCAACCCAUGUACAUCUAAGGGUAGGUUCAUAACCAAUUGUUUCUCUAAAUAAUUUUUAGUAAUUUUAAUUUUAUCCCAGAAACCUAAUCAGUAGGCUUUGGCCUCCACCGUAAGGAUCCGGUUAGGUCCAACCAUUAACAUGAUCAUACUUGGUGUAUCUAACCAACGAAUGAUUAAGCCCAACUUUAGUUGGCUCACCUAACCACCAUUAGAGAGAUACUUCCAAGUCAUCAUAUGAUGAGUGAUAAUUUCAUUAGUCAACAAGCACCAGGCUUUUGGGUCUACAAUGAUUAUUGAGUUAAUGGACUCAUUAUCAAACACCUUAAUGGGAGGCUAUAACUCAAUUAUCUCCAUAACUUUGUCAUUUUAAGGACCUAAUAAUUUUAGAGGAUUUAAAUAAUAUAGAGGAUGAGGUCAGAUGAACCAGCUUAUCAUGAUCCUCCCACUGGCUUCACCAAGUCAGCUUAAGGGAGACCAUUAAAAGAGCUGGUCUAGGAGCACCUAAAUCAGUCACACUGAUUUAUCUAGCUGACAUGGGUCAGCUCGAAUAGUCAAGUGAUCCGAUCAAAACAUAAUUUCACUAAGAGGCCAGGUAAGUUCGAUCAGUGGGAGGAUCUGCCAAAGCUUGCCUUAGACACCAUC
rnacentral:lncRNA from 1 species